GCCCAUCAGAAGGGGAUAACACUUGGAAACAGGUGCUAAUACCGUAUAACAAUCGAAACCGCAUGGUUUUGAUUUGAAAGGCGCUUUCGGGUGUCGCUGAUGGAUGGACCCGCGGUGCAUUAGCUAGUUGGUGAGGUAACGGCUCACCAAGGCCACGAUGCAUAGCCGACCUGAGAGGGUGAUCGGCCACAUUGGGACUGAGACACGGCCCAAACUCCUACGGGAGGCAGCAGUAGGGAAUCUUCGGCAAUGGACGAAAGUCUGACCGAGCAACGCCGCGUGAGUGAAGAAGGUUUUCGGAUCGUAAAACUCUGUUGUUAGAGAAGAACAAGGAUGAGAGUAACUGUUCAUCCCUUGACGGUAUCUAACCAGAAAGCCACGGCUAACUACGUGCCAGCAGCCGCGGUAAUACGUAGGUGGCAAGCGUUGUCCGGAUUUAUUGGGCGUAAAGCGAGCGCAGGCGGUUUCUUAAGUCUGAUGUGAAAGCCCCCGGCUCAACCGGGGAGGGUCAUUGGAAACUGGGAGACUUGAGUGCAGAAGAGGAGAGUGGAAUUCCAUGUGUAGCGGUGAAAUGCGUAGAUAUAUGGAGGAACACCAGUGGCGAAGGCGGCUCUCUGGUCUGUAACUGACGCUGAGGCUCGAAAGCGUGGGGAGCAAACAGGAUUAGAUACCCUGGUAGUCCACGCCGUAAACGAUGAGUGCUAAGUGUUGGAGGGUUUCCGCCCUUCAGUGCUGCAGCUAACGCAUUAAGCACUCCGCCUGGGGAGUACGACCGCAAGGUUGAAACUCAAAGGAAUUGACGGGGGCCCGCACAAGCGGUGGAGCAUGUGGUUUAAUUCGAAGCAACGCGAAGAACCUUACCAGGUCUUGACAUCCUUUGACCACUCUAGAGAUAGAACUUUCCCUUCGGGGGCAAAGUGACAGGUGGUGCAUGGUUGUCGUCAGCUCGUGUCGUGAGAUGUUGGGUUAAGUCCCGCAACGAGCGCAACCCUUAUUGUUAGUUGCCAUCCUUUAGUUGGGCCCUCUAGCAAGGACUGUCCGGUGACCAACCGGAGGAAGGUGGGGAUGGUGUCAAAUCAUCCAUCCCCUUAUGACCUGGGCUUCGCGCGUGCUUCAAUGGGAAGUACAACGAGUUGCGAAGUUGCGAGGGUUAGCUUAUCUUUUAAAACUUUUUUCAGUUCGGAUUGCAGGCUGCAACUUGCCUGCAUGAAAGCCGGAAUUCGCUUGUUAUUCGCGGAUCAACCCGCCGCGGUGAAUUAC
rnacentral:rRNA from 1 species